AGCGAACGCUAGCGGCGGGCCUAACACAUGCAAGUCGAGCGCAUACCUUCGGGUAUGAGCGGCGGACGGGUGAGUAACACGUAGGUAAUCUACCCUUUGGUGGGGAAUAACCGGGGAAACUCGGGCUAAUGCCGCACGAGGUCUACGGAUCAAAGCCUUCGGGCGCCAGAGGAUGAGCCUGCGUUGCAUUACCUAGUUGGCGGGGUAACGGCCCACCAAGGGGACGGAUGCAUAGCUGGUCUGAGAGGAUGAUCAGCCACACUGGGACUGAGACACGGCCCAGACUCCUACGGGAGGGCAGCAGUGGGGGAAUAUUGCGCAAUGGGGGGAAACCCGUGACGCAGCUACGCCGCGUGGGUGAUGAAGGCCUUCGGGUUGUAAAG
rnacentral:rRNA from 1 species